rnacentral:lncRNA from 1 species
CCCCACCUUCCUACAUCCAUAGGCUCUUUCAGUGAGUCAUACCCAGUCUCCAUUUCAUGACUCAGCUUCUGUGACCUGGUGACUUUCUCACUGUGGCCCUCCGGAAUUUGGGUUACACCUUUCCUUCUUGGGUGGAGUGCUGUGGUUGGAUUUCCCCUGCCCAUCUCCUUUUCCAGCUGUUGGUGGCUUCCUCAUGCCUCCAUAGACAAGUGACCUUUGGGGAGUGGCAGUAUUUGAGAAAUCAUUUUCCGUUGUUUGACUGUCUUGAUAGCUUGAACCAUUUCUCCUUUAGGUCUGGAUGAGAAUUAUUUGUCAUAAAUCAUUUUACCUAGUUCAGGGAGGGCCAAUAUCGCCAGAUAAUUGAUUUUGUGUAUUUAAACUUCUCCUCACCAAUGAACUAGUGAAUGAGUGAGCAUAAAGCACCAUGUACCGUGCCUGACACACAGGAAACAUUUGCAAGUGGCAUUAUUAACCAUCAUCUUUGUUGAAUCUACUGUGAGCAGGCAUGGACUUAUUUGUCUGAGGAACAGUGGAAUUCUGUGGGCUGGAGAAAUUCAGGCAGCUGGCAGUUGAACUUUAAGUACCACUGUAGCAGACACCAGCCUUCCCUCUCAGUCUCACUGGCCUUGAAGUGAUGAUAAUGACACAUUCGGAGCAGCUGGAGAUUUCUGUGGAGCCAGACUGCAGAGGUGACCAUAAGGAAGAGAGUGCAGAUGAAACAGGAAAAGCAGAUGCCAGAGAGGCUGAGGAUGGGUGAGCAAAGUGCAGUAACGCAGAGCACAUGGCAAAUACAGCGUGUAUGGUGGCAAUAUUCACUAGACUGUUACCAGAGAAGUCUCAGCAGUGUGAGAAACUUCAAAAUCCUGCUGCACUGA